GACAGAGGAUGCAAGCGUUAUCCGGAAUGAUUGGGCGUAAAGCGUCUGUAGGUGGCUUUUUAAGUCCGCCGUCAAAUCCCAGGGCUCAACCCUGGACAGGCGGUGGAAACUACCAAGCUGGAGUACGGUAGGGGCAGAGGGAAUUUCCGGUGGAGCGGUGAAAUGCGUAGAGUAUCAUUGGAACGCCAAUGGUAGAAAACAGCUCGCUGGGGGUGCACUGACACUGAGACACGAAAGCCAGGGAGGCGAAACGGG
rnacentral:rRNA from 1 species